UACGUAGGGUGCAAGCGUUGUCCGGAAUUAUUGGGCGUAAAGAGCUCGUAGGCGGUUUGUCGCGUCGAAUGUGAAAACCCGGGGCUCAACCCCGGGCCUGCAUUCGAUACGGGCAGACUAGAGUUCGGUAGGGGAGUCUGGAAUUCCUGGUGUAGCGGUGAAAUGCGCAGAUAUCAGGAGGAACACCGGUGGCGAAGGCGGGACUCUGGGCCGAUACUGACACUGAGGAGCGAAAGCCAGGGGAGCAAACGGG
rnacentral:rRNA from 1 species